AUGAAAAUCUUCAUUUAUCUCAGUCUGGUGAUCAUCCCAUCUAUUCUGGCAGACGUUCCAACAGGUUGUGCCACGAUCAAGAGUGUAGAAUCUGGAAAAUACCUUGCUGCUGACACCAAAACGCAAGGAGAGAAACUUAAAUUUAUCGUUGGCAAAAAUGAUGGCCAGGAACAGUGGGAAAUUGGUAAAGGUGACGAGGGUUACACUGUGAUGCAUAAAAAGAGUGGCGAAUUCAUGAUGGCAUUUGGAGCCGAUUUUGAUUCUUUAAGGUCUGUGUUUUCCGUUAAACCUGAGACAACGGUUCAUACGAAAAAUUGGAAGAUUGAGCCAGUGGGAGAGCAUUACAGUAUAAGCAACGUUAAACAUCCAGGAUGUCUGCACAUUGGAGAGUACGAUAAUGCUUACACCAAGGAUAAGGGAAACUGUUCAGAGGAUCAGUACCAAGUGGGAAAUAAAGUCGUGCUGAUUGCUUUUUAUUUAAACUUGUUAGAUUCUGCAGCUAUCCAUUGAUAAUUAUGAUGAAUACGAAAUAAAUUCAU